UUAAUUUUUUUUGCUAUACAUAUGUUCAAUUAAGUUUUUAUUCAAGGAUCGAAUUCUAAAAUACAUUCUAGCUCUGAAAAACAAUUAUUUUACUUUUGAGCUACAGUUUACAAAAUUACUUAAAUCUAAGUGCUUCUGGACGUAAUUUGUACAUAUGUAUGUCAAAUAGUGCUUGCAAGGCUCUCAUAUGCUCCAUAAACAUAUCUGUUGGUUUUGAGAGUCCUCCUUCAGAAAGGUCAUAUUUGACGUCAAAUGCUGUCAAAAUAAUGAAAACGGGUUGUCAUAUGGUGUCAGUUGCGUUUGCCGGCAUAUUUGCCAACGAACGGCAAUUUAAAUUGACAGCGAAAUGAAAACAAUCAAAAUACGUUAUGUGGCAAUAUUUGACAUCAAAAUUAGAUUUGUCAACAUGUUGGCAAAUUAUUUCAAUUUGCCGCGCGAAUGAUAUCCAAAAAUAAAUAAAAAAGAUUUUUCACUUUUCAACUUUCAAAAUGGCAGAAGAAAUGGGUGCAAAUACAGAAAUGUUAAUUCCAAGCAUCAAGCGGGUGCGAAAAAUGAAAACAAAGUGGACAGCGGAGGAGACUGAGCUGAACUAAUUCAAGAAGUGGAGUCAAGGGAAGGAACCUGGAAUUUCCUUUCCGCGGAUUAUCGCGAUAGGAAUUCGCGUGAGGCUCAGUGGCAUGAAGUGGCAGAAACACUAAAUAUGCCACGAGCCGAAGUAUCAGCCUAGUGGAACAGCCUUC